UGAAUACGAGACGCUAAGGCGUCGAAGUAGUGUAUGUCAUACUUCCAAGAAAAGCUUGCACUGUCAUAAAUAAAAAUGCCUGUACCAUAACCGACACAGGUGGGUAGGUAGAGUAUACUAAGGGGCGCGAGAUAACUCUCUCUAAGGAACUCGGCAAAAUAACUCCGUAACUUCGGGAGAAGGAGUGCCUUAUUCUUAAGGUUGCAAUAACAAGAUCCAAGCAACUGUUUAUCAAAAACACAGGUCUCCGCUAAGUCGCAAGACGAUGUAUGGGGGCUGACGCCUGCCCAGUGCCAGAAGGUUAAAGAAGUUGGUUAGCUUUUGCGAAGCUGAUAACUGAAGCCCUGGUGAACGGCGGCCGUAACUAUAACGGUCCUAAGGUAGCGAAAUUCCUUGUCGGGUAAGUUCCGACCCGCACGAAAGGCGUAAUGAUUUGGAUACUGUCUCGGAGAGGGGCUCGGUGAAAUAGACUUGUCUGUGAAGAUGCGGACUACCUGCACCAUGACAGAAAGACCCUAUGAAGCUUUACUGUAACUUGAAAUUGAAAUUGGACUUUAUUCGCGCAGUAUAGGUGGGAGGCGUUGAUUGUAAUCUUGCGGGAUUAUUGGAGCCAUCAGUGGGAUACCACUCUUGUAAUGUUAGAUUUCUAACUUUAUCAUUAUCUGGUCAAAGAACAGUUUCAGGCGGGCAGUUUGACUGGGGCGGUCGCCUCCUAAACGGUAACGGAGGCGUACAAAGGUUUCCUCUGAACGGUUAGAAAUCGUAUCUAGAGUGUAAAGGCAUAAGGAAGCUUGACUGUGAGACCUACAAGUCGAGCAGGGACGAAAGUCGGUCUUAGUGAUCUGACGGUGCUGAGUGGAAAGGCCGUCACUCAACGGAUAAAAGUUACUCUAAGGAUAACAGGCUGAUCUCCCCCAAGAGUUCACAUCGACGGGGAGGUUUGGCACCUCGAUGUCGGCCCAUCGCAUCCUGGGGCGGUAGUACGUCCCAAGGGUUGGGCUGUUCGCCCAUGAAAGCGGUACGCGAGCUGGGUUCAGAACGUCGUGAGACAGUUCGGUCCAUAUCCGGUGUAGGCGUUAGAAUAUUGAGAGGAGCCUUCUUUAGUACGAGAGGACCGAGAAGGACAUACCUCUGGUGUACCAGUUAUCGUGCCAACGGUAAACGCUGGGUAGCUAUGUAUGGAGUGGAUAACCGCUGAAAGCAUCUAAGUGGGAAGCCCACCUCAAGAUAAG
rnacentral:rRNA from 1 species